UCUUUUCUUUUUCUAAAUCUUUGGAUAAGUGAAAGAUUAAAUUUGAGCAUUAUAUAUUUAAGGGUCUAUUUUUUCUAUUGUUGGUUUCUUCUAUUAUUUGAUGAAACACAGCGGGUCUAUUCUAUUGAGCUUGAAGGUAAUUUGUCCGUCACAAAGUUUGUCCCAGGAAAUUUUUCUGAAUUCUCAAUUUCACAAAAUUAAGAAUAAUUUUGAGAUAAUCAAACAAAUUGUUCACCAAUUUCGAUUGAAUACACUCAAACGAAUAAAUUGGUAGUUCAGAGUUCUUCAAAAUUUCUAUUACAUCGAUCAGAAUCCAUUGAUUUCUUCAUCAUAUCUUUAGAAAAAAGCAGAGAAAUUUCAUAUGGUAAUGUUCUUCACAUCUCUAUACUUCCAUCUUUCUCCACUUAUAUCAAAUUUCGAAUAUCAGGCUAACCCAAAAAGCACAGCUCUUGCUUUCAUCUCCCUCUACUCAUUCUCCGUGAUAUCAGAAUUAUCAUUUUUCAGAUUUUCUCCAUUAUUACUUCGAUCGUCACUGCCAAAGGAUAAGUAAACAGUAUUGCUCUAUUGUUGUUCGAUAAAAUGUCUCAAUGAACUAAUUGUCAUGUGCCUAAAAUUUGAUUUUCGGUUUGCGUUUUAAAGAGGUUUUGAUCAAUUAGUUACGUUUAUUUAAGGUUGAUAAAUCUCCUCGAGUCAUUUUUUUCAUGCUCACUGAUUCGCUGCUAUGGAUCAGACACUUUUAAGGAGAUUAUUACAAUUCUUAUACCCAUUGCAUUGAUGCUGAUGCUUGUUGGGAAUGGUGAAGAUACAUUAUUGGCCGAUUGUGAAGUUAAUCUGAAGAACCUCAAUUUGCUGGGAAUGGAGUUGAUGUUUUAGUUCACGACUCUACUACUGCUAAACAACUUCUGGUAUUCGUAUUAAUCUUUAAAUUUGUUAUUUCAUUUGUAGAGUUACAAGGAACCAUCAUAUGUUUUUUGCAUCAGGUAAUGUAUUCUGACUUUACAGUUGAUACAGUUGAAUAAAAAAGUGGUAUUUUCUGUUAUGUACUACUAAACUAUGCAUCAUAUUAAACUUCGUUUUAGUUACCCAAUCUGGAAGUAACUUUUGUUGUUUUCAAUUGUCGAUGGGCGAUUCAUUGGCCUUGUAGUUUACUAACUAUUUUCUUGUGAUGAAAACUGAAGGGCUAAAUUUACAUUUUGUUUGCAGUCUGAAGUCACUGCUCUAAAGAUCUACACCCAAGGCAGGAGCAAUUGGUGUUGUAGAAAAUAGUUGUUCAGUCCCUGAAGCUGCUGCUUCAAGGGUGGAAGCUUUUUCAAGACUCUUAACUUCUUCCAAUUUUUAUUAGACUUCAAAGGUUCCCUCCGAUUACAACCAAUUUUGUUUCUGUUCUUGUUUGUUUCUGCUUUACAAAUCAGAUUCAUGACAUUACAUUCACAGAUUCAAGACAUUUCAGGGUCUUUCCGUUGGGAUCCAUUUUUUGCGCUGCAGAAAUCUGACACCUUCUUAACCAUGCUUUUGCUGCUGUCAUGCCGUUGGUUGAUCUAGCGGAAGGAAAUCUUGAUAACAUUAUCGCACAUCUUCUGUGGUUCGUAUGCUAUCGGAACGUGUUGGACUUCUUUGGUUUGAGACCUCAGAUAAAAAAGUUACCUGUACAAGUUAGCAGCAGCAAAGGACAUUAUGAAAAUCAUAAAGAGGACACACUCGUUGAGGCAAGCUGGAUAAAAUUCUUGUGAAAAUGGGUAAUGGAACAUGUUGCUGGAGUUCUUGCAGGCUUGUUAAAAGCUGGGGAUGAGUAACUGGUCAGUGAAUUCCGUAGUAAAGCAUUUUUGGAAGCCUUCACUAUUUCAAAGAAGGAAAGGAAGAGAAUCUCAAGUUCAAAACAGUGACAUGAAAAAUCCCCCUUUACCAGCGUUAAGCGGUGCUAACUACCAUGCAUCACCAGCAGACCUACGUAUAACCAGCGAAGACCUUCGUUAGCAUCUGCAGAUGUAGACCCCUCUGCUGCACCACAUCCUAAAUAGUAUAUGGAGCCGUUAGUGAUUCGCAUUGCUGGGCUGUAAAAGAAUGCAAGGAAAGGAUAUAGUCGUGUGGUUAGGUAUAUGCACCGAUGGACCAGUUCACUAUUAACACAAUUGUAAUUAAGUUAAUUGUCAUGGAGUGAUGGUCUAAACCGCGUUGUGAUGGUACGAUAUUGUAAAUUAUAGUGCAAAUGCAAUUUUCGUUUCCGUUGGUUUUGAGCAACUCGUAUACUUGUAGCUUAUACACUUUUUUGACUUGUACACACUUUCAAUGAAUACAAUGGUUUUUGUGAUACUUUCAUGUGA